rnacentral:miRNA from 2 species
UAUCACAGCCAUUCUAGAUGCG